rnacentral:rRNA from 1 species
AGCGAACGCUGGCGGCAGGCUUAACACAUGCAAGUCGAGCGGGCGUAGCAAUACGCCAGCGGCAGACGGGUGAGUAACGCGUGGGAACAUACCUUUUGGUUCGGAACAACACAGGGAAACUUGUGCUAAUACCGGAUAAGCCCUUACGGGGAAAGAUUUAUCGCCGAAAGAUUGGCCCGCGUCUGAUUAGCUAGUUGGUGAGGUAAUGGCUCACCAAGGCGACGAUCAGUAGCUGGUCUGAGAGGAUGAUCAGCCACAUUGGGACUGAGACACGGCCCAAACUCCUACGGGAGGCAGCAGUGGGGAAUAUUGGACAAUGGGCGCAAGCCUGGUCCAGCCAUGCCGCGUGAGUGAAGAAGGCCU